rnacentral:rRNA from 1 species
AGUGAACGCUGGCGGUAGGCCUAACACAUGCAAGUCGAACGGCAGCACAGUAAGGGCUUGCUCUUACGGGUGGCGAGUGGCGGACGGGUGAGGAAUACAUCGGAAUCUACUUUUUCGUGGGGGAUAACGUAGGGAAACUUACGCUAAUACCGCAUACGACCUACGGGUGAAAGCAGGUGAUCUUCGGACCUUGCGCGAUUGAAUGAGCCGAUGUCGGAUUAGCUAGUUGGCGGGGUAAAGGCCCACCAAGGCGACGAUCCGUAGCUGGUCUGAGAGGAUGAUCAGCCACACUGGAACUGAGACACGGUCCAGACUCCUACGGGAGGCAGCAGUGGGGAAUAUUGGACAAUGGGCGCAAGCCUGAUCCAGCCAUACCGCGUGGGUGAAGAAGGCCUUCGGGUUGUAAAGCCCUUUUGUUGGGAAAGAAAAGCAGCAGGUUAAUACCCCGCUGUUCUGACGGUACCCAAAGAAUAAGCACCGGCUAACUUCGUG